CUACGGGGGGCUCCAGUAGGGAAUCUUAGACAAUGGGGGAAACCCUGAUCUAGCCAUGCCGCGUGAGUGAUGAAGGCCUUAGGGUUGUAAAGCUCCUUCGCUGGGGAAGAUAAUGACGGUACCCAGUAAAGAAACCCCGGCUAACUCCGUGCCAGCAGCCGCGGUAAUACGGAGGGGGUUAGCGUUGUUCGGAAUUACUGGGCGUAAAGCGCGCGUAGGCGGGCUAUUAAGUCAGGGGUGAAAUCCCGGGGCUCAACCCCGGAACUGCCUUUGAUACUGGUAGUCUUGAGUUCGAGAGAGGGGAGUGGAAUUCCGAGUGUAGAGGUGAAAUUCGUAGAUAUUCGGAGGAACAUCAGUGGCGAAGGCGACUCACUGGCUCGAUACUGACGCUGAGGUGCGAAAGUGUGGGGAGCAAACAGGAUUAGAUACCCCCGUAGUC
rnacentral:rRNA from 1 species